rnacentral:rRNA from 1 species
CCUACGGGUGGCAGCAGUGGGGAAUAUUGGACAAUGGGCGAAAGCCUGAUCCAGCCAUGCCGCGUGUGUGAAGAAGGCCUUCGGGUUGUAAAGCACUUUCAGUGGGGAAGAAAGCCUUGGGGCUAAUACCCUCGAGGAAGGACAUCACCCACAGAAGAAGCACCGGCUAACUCCGUGCCAGCAGCCGCGGUAAUACGGAGGGUGCGAGCGUUAAUCGGAAUUACUGGGCGUAAAGCGCGCGUAGGCGGUCUGAUAAGCCGGUUGUGAAAGCCCCGGGCUCAACCUGGGAACGGCAUCCGGAACUGUCCGGCUAGAGUGCAGGAGAGGAAGGUAGAAUUCCCGGUGUAGCGGUGAAAUGCGUAGAGAUCGGGAGGAAUACCAGUGGCGAAGGCGGCCUUCUGGACUGACACUGACGCUGAGGUGCGAAAGCGUGGGUAGCAAACAGGAUUAGAUACCCUGGUAGUC